CUCCUGGAUGUAUGACCGGAUCAUCUCUGUCUUUUCCCUACGAGCAAAUGACAACUAGAUCAUUAUAUGAACUCAUCCAGCAUCAACAAAGAGAACCUAUGGAAACUUUUGCGAUUACUCAGACAGCGGUAGUAAUUGGACUCAACCCUUCUUACUAGAGCACCACGUAGACAGUGUGGGCUUCCUAUGAAAGACCCCACUGCUGUUCACCCGUGAUGGAGACUCUCAAAUACAACUGGCUUGAGAGGCCUGUUCAUAACUCUGAUCUACAACCAAAGAUAGAACUGGCACUUCUGGGUGCUUCUCGGUCAAGAGAUUUCCUGGCAGAACAAUUUCUGGUUGAAACAAUUGGAGUGAUAGAAAAUGAAGAAAGAAAGAAACAAUUGAAGGUGAUACACGCCAGCUCAAGGCAUGU